GUUCUUUCCGUAAAGGAAGGCUAAGAGGGAAGCAGGUCAGAAUCCUGCGCGGUCCCGCCGCUGUGAAUGGUGAGUCUUGUCCUCAGGCGUGAGCUGUCCAUUGGGAAACCGAGAAGGAUGGGCAAGGUGAUGACCCAAAGCCAGAAGACCUGCAUGUGACU
rnacentral:ncRNA from 1 species